CAAUAGCGUAUAUUAACGUUGUUGCAGUUAAAAAGCUCGUAGUUGGAUUUCUGGAGGGAGCGUCGGCCCGUAUUUACGAGUGCGUGACGUCUCUGUCCAUCCUUGCGGGAAGGCACGGCUUUGAUUUGUUGUGUCGGAUCGCAUCAUUUACUGUGAAAAAAUUAGAGUGUUCAAAGCAGGCUUUCGCUUGAAUACAUUAGCAUGGAAUAAUAAGAUAGGACUUUGGUGCUAUUUUGUUGGUUGAGCCUAAAGUAAUGAUUAAUAGGGAUAGUUGGGGGCACCUGUAUUGCGUUGUCAGAGGUGAAAUUCUUGGAUUUACGCAAGACAAACAGCUGCGAAAGCGUCUGCCAAGGAUGUUUUCAUUA
rnacentral:rRNA from 1 species